AGGAAAUUCCUUCUCCCUGAUCAUCCCUGUUGUUGUUGCUGUGGUUGUUCUUGCUGCCAUCGCUGUGAUCACAUUCAUUAUUUACAAAAAGAGGACAGAGAAACGUCCCCCAUCUCCUGUAGAGAACCGUGAAGUCAAGGAGCAAAUGCUUCCUCAAGCCGAAACCACAAACAGCUCUGCACACAAGAACAUGAGAGAAGACGUGUCAGCUCGUUCUUCUCCAUAAACUGGAAUUCAUUGAAUUCGUUGAUUCGUUGAUUGUUCACAGACUUUAGAUCUGUUAAAAAGAUCUAAAGUCUAAAAUAUAGUUGCAGAUGCUUAUUAGUCAAGAUUUAAUGGAAAGGAGUUUGAAAAUGAGUUGGCAAAUGUUUAACAUAUACAUCAUAAUGGUGGCAUUAAAUUAUUCUGAAGAUCUAACAAAGAUGUGACCACCUGGAGAGACGUAAAACACAAUAAAAACAAUAUGAAACAAUGAAAGCAUCACAGCAGUCUCAAUACAAUCAUAAUUAAACCUUUGUAUGUUCAUCUUCACUCAAACAUAUAUUAGUUUAGUGUUUCUGGUUUUCUUGUAAAUUAUUGAAUCACUCAUGAAUGCUGAGAUUCCCUCACUCUCAGUGAUAAAGGAAUCAUAAUAAGAUAUUUCUAAAUCUUG
ensembl:lncRNA